rnacentral:rRNA from 1 species
CGCGCAGGCGGCCUCUUAAGUCUGAUGUGAAAGCCCCCGGCUCAACCGGGGAGGGCCAUUGGAAACUGGGAGGCUUGAGUAUAGGAGAGAAGAGUGGAAUUCCACGUGUAGCGGUGAAAUGCGUAGAGAUGUGGAGGAACACCAGUGGCGAAGGCGACUCUUUGGCCUGCACUGACGCUCAUGCACGAAAGCGUGGGGAGCAAACAGGAUUAGAUACCCGCGUA